rnacentral:misc_RNA from 1 species
GAAAUGCGAUAAGUAAUGUGAAUUGCAGAAUUCAGUGAAUCAUCGAAUCUUUGAACGCACAUUGCGCCCGCCAGUAUUCUGGCGGGCAUGCCUGUUCGAGCGUCAUUUCAACCAUCAAGCCCCCGGGCUUGUGUUGGGGACCUGCGGCUGCCCGCAGGCCCUGAAAACCAGUGGCGGGCUCGCUGUCACACCGAGCGUAGUAGCAAUCACCUCGCUCAGGGCGUGCUGCGGGUUCCGGCCGUUAAAGAGCCUUGCAAACCCAAGGUUGACCUCGGAUCAGGUAGGAAGACCCGCUGAACUUAAGC